rnacentral:tRNA from 1 species
GAAAGAGGCCUAAGGCAGUAAGGACUGCUAAUCCUUCACCCCCGCGGCUAAAUUCCGCGGCUCAUUC